GAUGAACGCUGGCGGCGUGCCUAACACAUGCAAGUCGAGCGGACGGACGCGGCUUUUGCUUCGCUUAUGUGAGGGGCGGGCGGGUGAUUCACACGAGUAUACCCUACCUAUAAGACUGAGAUCACUUCGGGAAAGCGGAUCUCACACCCGAUAAUAUUUUGAACCGCGGGGUUCUUAGGUGAAAGACGGUUUUGCUGUCACUUAUAGAUGUUUCCGGGCUGCUUUAGCUAGUUGGUACGUAAACGGCUUACCAAGGCUAGUAUGCGUAGCCGAACUGAGAGGCUGAUCGGCCACACUGGAACUGAGACACGGUCCAGACUACUACGGGAGGCAGCAGUAGGGAAUCUUAGGCAAUGGGCGAAAGCCUGACGGAGCAACGCCGCGUGAGUGAUGAAGGUCUUCGGAUCGUAAAGCUCUGUUAUUAGGGAAGAACAGAUGUGUAAGUAAAUGUGGCCAUAUUGACGGUACCUACUCAAAAAGCACCGGCUAACUACGUG
rnacentral:rRNA from 1 species